GUGAGGAAUAUUGGACAAUGGGGGGAACCCUGAUCCAGCCAUGCCGCGUGUGUGAAGAAGGCCUUUUGGUUGUAAAGCACUUUAAGUGGGGAGGAGGCUUACCUAGUUAAUACCUGGGCUAAGUGGACGUUACCCACAGAAUAAGCACCGGCUAACUCUGUGCCAGCAGCCGCGGUAAUACAGAGGGUGCGAGCGUUAAUCGGAUUUACUGGGCGUAAAGCGCGCGUAGGUGGUUAAUUAAGUCAAAUGUGAAAUCCCCGAGCUUAACUUGGGAAUUGCAUUCGAUACUGGUUGGCUAGAGGAUGGGAGAGGAUGGUAGAAUUCCAGGUGUAGCGGUGAAAUGCGUAGAGAUCUGGAGGAAUACCGAUGGCGAAGGCAGCCAUCUGGCCUAAUACUGACACUGAGGUGCGAAAGCAUGGGGAGCAAACAGGAUUAGAAACCCCUGUAGUCC
rnacentral:rRNA from 1 species